UAUUAUAAGCUUUCAGGAGUUUUGUUUAAUUGCCUUUCCGACCAAGUCCAACACGACUUAGACAUCAAUAUUAGACCAUUAUUCGAUCUCCUUCCUUCGCCUCUCUCCUGCCCAAGAAAAAUGGAAAAUCCUUCUUCUUCCAACUCCAUUAAAACUUAUGAUGUGUUCUUGAGUUUUAGAGGUGAAGACACCCGAAGCAGUUUCACAGGUUAUCUCUAUCAUGCUUUGAGCCAAAGAGGAAUUCUCACCUUCAGGGAUGAUGAAAUGCUUGAGAGAGGCGAAGACGUUUUCUCAACAUUGUUGAAAGCGAUCGAAGAAUCAGAGUGCUCCCUUGUCAUUCUCUCGAAAAACUAUGCUUCUUCAAUUUGGUGUUUGGAUGAACUUGUAAAGAUUGUUGAAUGCAUGAAAGACUCUAGAAAGUUGAUUUUUCCAAUUUUCUAUCAUGUCAAACCAUCUGAUGUACGGCACCAGAAAGGAAGUUUUGGAGAAGCAUUCCGGAGACACGAAGAACGUUUUAGGUCCAACUUGGAAAAGGUGCAAAGAUGGAGGAUUGCAUUAACAAUAAUCGCAGAUAUAGCUGGAUAUCAUAUACACCGUGGAGGUGAUCCAGAAUGGAAAAUCAUACAAGAAGUAACAGAGUUAAUAUGGAAAAGAGUUUCUGAUGUUGUAGAGACAAAAACUUCACUUAUCAAGAAAGAAAAAGCAGCCAAGAGAUCAAACAAAAACGUUCAAGAGAUAAAAGCUGUAGAUGUAGAGCGCUUACCCGGAAUGGAUUCGCUUGUAAAUGAUUUUCAUUCAUCUCUUUGUGAAUCUUUGGCCAAUGUUCGUUUUAUUGGAAUUUGUGGGAUAAGUGGAAUUGGCAAGACAACUCUUGCUGAAGUUUAUUACCGAUCGAUAUCCAACAAUUUUCAAUAUAAGAGCUUCCUUAGAAAUGUGAAAAAUGUUUGUGAAAAGAAGGAGAACAUUAAUGGUCUUGUCUACUUGCAAACACAACUUCUUUCAGACAUUUUAGAAGAAAAGUUUACAAUAGCGGAUGUUCGUAGUGGCAUGGACAUGAUAAAGAGUAGUUUGUACGAUAAGAAAGUUCUCAUUGUUCUUGAUGAUGUGGACACAUUGGACCAACUGAAGGUAUUAGCUAAGAAAGCUACUUGGUUUGGUUCAGGGAGCAUAGUCAUUGUAACAACUAAAGAUGAAAGUUUGCUAGCAAGAACGUAUGAAGAACGUAUAAUUUACAGAGUCGAGCAAUUAAAGGAUAGAGAAGCUCUUCAACUUUUUUCAUGGAAAUCAUUCGAGAAUCGUAAUCCUUCACGAGGUUAUGGCGUUCUAUCUAGACAAAUGAUAGAAUAUGCCAAUGGUGUUCCAUUAACCCUUGAAGUUUUAGGUUCCUUUUUAUGGACCAAAGAUGAAAGUAAAUGGACAAGUACGUUGGAUAGGCUGAGAGAGUACCAUCCAAGAAACUUGAGGAUUGUUGAUAUACUUCAAAUAUGCUUUGAUGAACUGAAGGAACUAGAGAAGCAUAUUUUCCUGGAUAUUGCAUAUUUCUUCAAUGGAUGUCAAAAAGAUUAUGUUACCAAAAUUAUGGAAGAAAGUGGCUUCUCUGCUGAAAGUGGGAUAAUAGUUCUUAAUCGUAAGUCUCUCUUGAGAAUUGAUGAAAACACACUUUGGAUGCACGAGUUAUUACAAGAGAUGGGGAGGGAAAUUGUUCGAAAAGAAUGCCAGAAGGAACCAGAAGGACGAAGCAGGCUAUGGGAUGUGCAUUAUUGUCCAUAAUUUGGAGCAUAAAAUGGGAACAAUCUUGGUCGAAGCAAUAGUAACCUCUUAAAUUAUAAGACAUAACAAAGGAGAAGGUCCUGAUCUAAGAGAAGCUUGAAAGUGAAUUUUGGAUCUAUCCAACAUUCCUAUCAAGAAACUCUCAACAUAGACUAGCAUCUUCAAGACCUGCAUUCAACAAAAUCUCUGCUUUCGGUUCCAGUUCAUGCGCUUAGCUUGUGCAUGUCUCCUGGUUUUUCUGUCUUAGAUAUUUAUCACAAAAUCAGGCAACAAUAUUGCAAGUUUGUUGGUAAAAAAAUAUCUUUGGUAUUUUGUCAAAUUAUUUGUAGCUUGGACGUUAAGGAAUUUGUUAUUCUUGUUGUGUUACUGUAAUAGGGCGUAAAGAGUUUGACUAGGUAGAGACUUUUAGAUUGUUGUGUCUUAUGCUUUUAUAAGGAAUGUAUUAAACUAGCUGGUUUUUAGCCAACUAUGGUUUGGAAACUAGCUUAGGAUUUCUUUUUCUUGAGAAUAUUGCUCCUGCAGGAGUUGGAAAUUUCCAUUGGAGAAGAUUGUAUGACAAUUUCUAGCUCCCUUAGGGAAAUCAUCAGCUUUAAAUCCUGUACAGAGACAAACAAAACUACAAGCCCUUAUUGAAAUUAUGUUGUGCUUGUGGAUGACUAUA